CUGAGGUUCAGACAGGGGCAGAGAAAAGCCAAAAGUAAAACCCAGGCUUCGUACUCCUGCCAGCCCCCACAAAAGCAUGGCUUGCCAAGCGGUGCCAUGUCCACACCCGGGAUCCGAACUGGCGAACCCUGGGCCGCCGAAGCGGAAUGUGCGAACUUAACUGCUACACCACCAGGCGAGCCCACAGCCAACAGUCUUGAAAGACACCUGGUCCAAGGCCCCAUGGCCUCUCACCUGGGAGGCUGCAGCAGCUGCUGAAUUGUCUCCCGCUGCUACUCUCUAUUUCUUCCGUGGUCUGUUCCCAUAGAGCAGCCAGUGUUGUCUUCCCAAAACGCCCUGGGGAUGUGAGAAUGAAUAUGACAGAGCCCCUGCCCUCCGUGAGUCCAUAGUGUGAUGGGGAAGACAGGCAUUCAACAGGGAUCAAGGAAUAGAUUUGGAAAUGGAGACUCAGAGAGGCUAAGUAACCAGCUCAACGUUGCACAGCUGGCAAAUAGCAGAGUCAGGACUCAAAUCCAGGACUAGAGUUUAGGCCAGUGACUUUUCCAGGGGGAGAGAAAGAGGAAGAAGAAACAGAGGACAGAACGGAAAAGAAGAGAAAUAGGAGAGUGAAGUGACUCAGGUUGGAGCCUUUCAUGCUCCCGGCCACCUACAGAACAAAGUUCAAACUCAAGGACUCCUUGAUCCAGUUUCUCUUCUGUGAACUCCUUCCUGGAUCCCCUGCAUUCUGAGCUCUGCAAGGGCAGGGGAUCUGUCAGAUUCAGGCCUAGGCUCUCACACCUGGUGCGGCUCAAGCAGGUAUUGGUGAAAGUGGACUGAACUGAAUUCCUUGAACUUGCCCUCCACUUUCUUGCCUCUGGGCCUUUGCCCACAUGUUCCCUCCACCUGAGAUGCCCUUUCCCUUUGCCCACGGACACUCUAGAGUGAACUAGCCCCAGGGUCUGGCCCAGUGGCAAGGCGUGUGUCUGGAAUCUUUGCAUCCCUCAAUAUCCAAGCAUAUGGGAGGUGGCAAUAAAUCUUUUUUAAAGGAAAGGAGGGUUGAGAAGAUGGGAGAAAGGAAGUGAGAGAAAUGAGAAGGGAGAAAGGAAGAAUGAGAAGGAUUCAGCAUCUUGGUGCUGGCAAGGUCCAUAGAGAUCAGCUGAUGUUCUUUUUUUUAUUUCACCAGUGAGGAAAUGGGCCCAGAGGGAAGGGAAUUGACUGAGUGAGGCCUCCCAGCAGGUCGUUACUAGGCUAUGUGAGUUGAGGGCCAAGGUCUUAUCUGUCAAGUUCACUGCUGAAUCCCCAGUGCCCUGCACAGGCCUGGCUGCUGGACCUGUACUGUCUGAGUCAGGGACAUACCCUGAACUAGAACCCAGUAGCUUGAUGCCCGGCCACACUGUCCAAGGCUCCUGAUUGCCAUGGAACAGAGUCCCAUGGAACCCUGGCCCCUGCCACUCACUACCCCUUCUUUUUGCUCCCAGGCAUACCCAAUCUUCCAAUGUUUGCAUGAGCUGUCUCUGCUCCCAGAAUGUUUUUUCUCCAUGUCUACUCAUUAUUUUCUGGUGAUGCUGUCAAUCAAUCACCUGGCUAAGCUUGUGCCUCAGGGGAAGGCUUACCUAUGGCCCAGCCUGGUCAAUUAUAGUCUCCCGUCUCCCUGGCAAGGGUAAUUGGCCCAACGAGCGUGCAUGUGAUUUAAGGACGGCCAAUCACUGCCCUUCCAGGCAUAGGAAUACUGAGAGUGGGAGAAAGCAGCUCCCCCUUCCUGGGUUUUCCAAGCUGCUGCAGCCGUGUUCCCUGCCCAGAGGAGAUAAUCAGGGAUGAGAGGGGAAGGAUGCGGCAGUCCUGGUCGGGUUGAAUCCUUGGUUCCAGCCCGAUGGAUGCCCUGGUUCCUACAGUUCUUCCUUUAAUCACUAGCUUAUAUCCUUCCCAGCCGCUUGAAACAAUCAAUUCCUUUUUUGCUUAAGUUAACUUCAGUUGCUUGCAAUGGAGAGACUUUAUCAAUACAGAGGCCAAUCAUUUUUUUCUCUCUAAAAUUACACUGGCCUCGGGGGCUGGCCCCGUGGCCGAGUGGUUAAGUUCACGCGCUCCGCUGCAGGCGGCCCAGUGUUUCGUUGGUUCGAAUCCUGGGCGCGGUCAUGGCACUGCUCAUCAAACCACGCUGAGGCAGCAUCCCACAUGCUACAACUAGAAGGACCCACAACGAAGAAUAUACAACUAUGUACCCAGGGGCUUUGGGGAGAAAAAGGAAAAAAAUAAAAUCUUUAAAAUUGCACUGGC
rnacentral:lncRNA from 1 species